CGGAGGAUACGAGCGUUAUCCGGAUUUAUUGGGUUUAAAGGGUGCGUAGGUGGCUUUAUAAGUCAGUGGUGAAAAGCUGUGGCUCAACCAUAGUCUUGCCGUUGAAACUGUGGAGCUUGAGUGCGGAUGAGGUAGGCGGAACGCGUAGUGUAGCGGUGAAAUGCAUAGAUAUUACGCAGAACUCCGAUUGCGAAGGCAGCUUACCAAACCGCAACUGACACUGAAGCACGAAAGCGUGGGUAUCAAACAGGAUU
rnacentral:rRNA from 1 species